rnacentral:rRNA from 1 species
AUACGUAGGUGGCGAGCGUUGUCCGGAAUUAUUGGGCGUAAAGAGCAUGUAGGCGGCUUAAUAAGUCGAGCGUGAAAAUGCGGGGCUCAACCCCGUAUGGCGCUGGAAACUGUUAGGCUUGAGUGCAGGAGAGGAAAGGGGAAUUCCCAGUGUAGCGGUGAAAUGCGUAGAUAUUGGGAGGAACACCAGUGGCGAAGGCGCCUUUCUGGGCUGUGUCUGACGCAGAGAUGCGAAAGCCAGGGUAGCGAACGGGAUUAGAUACCCCGGUAGUCCUGGCCGUAAACGAUGGGUACUAGGUGUAGGAGGUAUCGACCCCUUCUGUGCCGGAGUUAACGCAAUAAGCAUUCCGCCUGGGGAGUACGGCCGCAAGGUUGAAACUUAAAGGAAUUGACGGGG